CUGUACUCUACGAACGAGCAUAUUGCGUGUCUGCAGAUUUAUCCCGCUCUCAAGAUGAAGCAUGCUUCAGCCAUCGUCUUGCUUCUUGGCCUAGCCGUGUUCAUGGACAUGAGCUGUUUACCAGGGGCUGUAUUGGCAGACGAACGCGGUUGCAGCAGCGCUGGUUGCAGAGAGAGCUGCAAGAUUCAGGGUUACGUGAUCGGCGUUUGGACACCAGAGGAUCCCGAUUCUGACUGCCAGUGCUUGAUACGUGCUUAUGAUUAGCUCAUUUGUUGGGCUCUGCUAUUUCUGUUUACUGCCCUUCGACGGCUUUAUCUUCUAUUAGUGAUGUAAUUAAAAAUGAUAUCAAUAAAAUGCACUUCUAC